rnacentral:rRNA from 1 species
GACGAACGCUGGCGGCGUGCUUAACACAUGCAAGUCGAACGGAAAGGCCCUGCUUUUGUGGGGUGCUCGAGUGGCGAACGGGUGAGUAACACGUGAGUAACCUGCCCUUGACUUUGGGAUAACUUCAGGAAACUGGGGCUAAUACCGGAUAGGAGCUCCUGCUGCAUGGUGGGGGUUGGAAAGUUUCGGCGGUUGGGGAUGGACUCGCGGCUUAUCAGCUUGUUGGUGGGGUAGUGGCUUACCAAGGCUUUGACGGGUAGCCGGCCUGAGAGGGUGACCGGCACUGGUUGUACUGGGGUACGGCACUGACUCGGGGGGGGGGCAGGGGGGGAGAGACGAGAGGCAUGGGCGGCGGCCUGGGGCAGCACGGGGGGGGGGGGAAGACCGGCCGCGGGGUUGACGACGGCUGGCGGGGGUGAGGAGGCGGGGGGGAGGGUAGUGGCAGAAGAGGCGCGGGACACCUACGGGCCGGAAGGGGCGGGAAUCGGAGUAACAGCAAACGGGCAAC